rnacentral:misc_RNA from 1 species
UCCCCGUUACCGGGGCAGUCUGAUUAGAAAAAUUCAACUAAUCACAAGGGUUGCGCUCGUUGAUGGACUUAACCAAACAUCUCACGACACGAGCUGACGACGGCCAUGCAACACCUGUCACCGGCCAACUAAAUGAAGCUUCCUUUCGGAAGUGGCACCGGGAUGUCAAACCUGGGUAAGGUUCUUCGCUUACCUUCGAAUUAAAGAACACGCUCCACCGCUUGUGCGGGUCCCCGUCAAUUCCUUUAUGUUUUAGUCUUGCGACCGUACUCCACAGGCGGGAUGCUUAACGCGUUAGCUUCGCUACUACGAGGGUCGAUACUCAUAACAGCUAGCAUCCAUCGUUUACGGCGUGGACUAA